rnacentral:rRNA from 1 species
AUUGAACGCUGGCGGCAGGCCUAACACAUGCAAGUCGAACGAGUGGCGGACGGGUGAGUAAUGUCUGGGAAACUGCCUGGUGGAGGGGGAUCACUACUGGAAACGGUAGCUAAUACCGCAUACCAUCGGAUGUGCCCAGAUGGGAUUAGCUAGUAGGUGGGGUAACGGCUCACCUAGGCGACGAUCCCUAGCUGGUCUGAGAGGAUGACCAGCCACACUGGAACUGAGACACGGUCCAGACUCCGACGGGAGGCAGCAGUGGGGAAUAUUGCACAAUGGGCGCAAGCCUGAUGCAGCCAUGCCGCGUGUAUGAAGAAGGCCUUCGGGUUGUAAAGUACUUUCAGCGAGGAGGCGUUACCCGCAGAAGAAGCACCGGCUAACUCCGUGCCAGCAGCCGCGGUAAUUC